UCCAGCCUAUGGAGAGAUGCUGCUUGAAUCUAUGUUUCACUGCAAAGUAAAACUAAUAGGCAUUAAUGCAAUCAAAUAGGAUUUAUUGAUUACUUACUACAUACAAAUGUUGGGCUUUGGGAGGUGAAGAUGGUCCUGCUCUUCAAAAUCUGUUCUAUUAGGCACAACAACAUUAGUAAAAAGACUAGAGGCACAGAUACGUCGCUAGGGGAAUUCAAAAGAGAAUGAAUUUUUUUUUUCCAAAUGGGAGAGGCAGGGUAAAACUUACCAGAGAAGCUGUCAUUUAAUUUUUUUUUUUUUUGAGUCGGAGUCUCACUCUGUCUCCCCGGCUUGAGUGCAGUGGCGUGAUCAUGGCUCACGGCUACCUCCGCCUCCCAGGUUCAAGUGAUUCUCCUGUCUCAGCCUCCUGAGUAGCUGGGUCUACAGGCACCUGGCACCAUGCCCAGCUAAUUUUUUUAUUUUAUUUUUUAAUAGAGAUGGGCUUUCACCAUGUUGGCCAAACUGGUCUUGAACUCCUUACCUCAAGUGAUCCUCCUGCCUCAGCCUCUGAAAGUGCUGGCAUUACAAGUGUGAGCCACUGCGCCUGGCCUAAUUUUUAUCUUUAUGUCUGGGAUUGGUACUUGAGAAGGCUGGAAACUAUAUUGUUGUUAAUAAGGAACUUCCUGAGAAAGACAUGGAGUUGGGGUAUUUGUGAUAACCAUUAUGUAAGUGUAGUUUAUUUAGACCACAGAAUGUGUGAAAGAGAGUGGCAGGUGGAAGUCAAGUUAGAAAGGUUGGGAUUAGAUGGUCUAGGACUUCAAAUGCGGUCCUUUGGAAAGAUCUUGUUUCCUGCAGAGCAGUCUGCUGGCAUGGUAUGCAACUGGGGAGACAAGAAGCAGCAGGAACCUAGAUAGGAGAUUAUGGUGUUUGCUUAGGUCAGAGUUAUAAGGGUGGAAGCAAGUCAGUGUGAAUGAGGGAGUCUUAAAAAAGAUGCUGUUAAGCCAGGCGUGGUGGCUCAUGCCUGUCAUCCCAGCACUUUGGGAGACUGAGGCUGGUGGAUCACCUGAGGUUGAGAGUUCAAGACCAGUCUGACCAACAUGGGGAAACCCCGUCUCUACUAAAAAUACAAAAUUAGCUGGGCAUGAUGGUGCAUGCCUGUAAUCCCAGCUACUCGGGAGGCUGAGGCAGGAGAAUCACUUGAACCCGGGAGGCGGAGGUUUCAGUGAGCCGAGAUCGCACCAUUGCACUCCAGCCUGGGCAACAAGAGUGAAACUCUGACUCAAAAAAAAAAAAAUGCUAUUGAAGGAUUGCUAGGUAUGAUUGGCAAACUGCUUGUAUGGCUUUGAGAGGCUAGCGGAGAAGAGGACUAGGUAAUUACACUGAGGGUUCCAGCCAUGUUGAUUGCUAGGAUUAUGGGGCCCCAUAACAGCAGAGGGCUCUUGUAAGGAAGGGUCAGGUUUAGGUGGUAGGAUGAUGAGGUUGGGUUGGAUGACUUAAGGGAGGGCUCUCCUUAUAGGGAUGAUCAAAGGCAUCUCCUGGGGCCUCUGGGGAAAUGAUCUGUUUUUGUGUCAUACUGGGACUAGGCACAUGCUGUAACACCAAAAGUAUUAUAAAAUUUACUCAUCUGUUAUGUAUUGGUGUUUUCCCCAAUUAGACUGCAAGUUCCUUGAGGUCAAGACCUCUGCUUAUUUAUCUCGGUGCAUUUUUUGCCUGGCGCACUAAAGGUGCUCAGUACAUGGGUAGUGAAAUAUUGGGGAAAUAGGAAAAAAAAAAGAUCUUUUUGAAUUCAAGUUUGUUUCGUAAACACUGGCCAAUAAAGUAUAAGAUUGUAAGAAUUAAAGGGGCAGGGCGCGGUGACUCACACCUGUAAUCCCAGCACUUUGGGAGGCCGAGACGGGUGGAUCACGAGGUCAGGAGAUUGAGACCAUCCUGGCUAACAUGGUGAAACCCCGUCUCUACUAAAAAUACAAAUACAAAUAAUAAUAAUAAUAAUAAUAAGCCAGGCAUGGUGGCAGUUGUCUGUAGUCCCAGCUAGUCGGGAGGCUGAGGCAGGAGAAUGGCGAGAACCUGGGAGGCGGAGCUUGCAGUGAGCCAAGAUCACGCCACUGCACUCCAGCCUGGGCUACAGAGCAAAAAAAAAAAAAAAAAAAAAAAGAGUUAAAGAAAGAGGAGAGAAACACGAAGGGCUGCUUAACAGUUAACAGGUUUAUUCUGAACCUGGGAGGGACUUCUGACUGAGUUAGGUCAGAAGCCACACUCUGUUACAGACUAAGAGUUUUCAAGGAUUUAGGGCGGGUGAGUUUAUCAGAAGCCUGUACUGCUUCUGUGUCUCUUUGUUGUGCUUAUGUGGGAGGGAGAGGUGGUGUGUGUCUGUUCCCAUACCUCUUUCUGCAGCCGCAGGCAUACCCCUGAGUCUGCUUUUAGCUGCCCUAUCUUAGUGCACCUGAACGGAAAGGAAUGUGCUUAUUAAGGCCCACUGUUUUACUGGGGCCCAGUGUAUGAGGGUGAAGUUUGGCAGUUACCCAAGAGACUUUUCCCUUACCUCCCUCUGUGCCCCAGGAGUCUUAUCUGUGUUUUACUGUCUGCUGUUUCUGGCUGCUUGUAGUUGGAAGUGAUUUCCUUGAAUGCGUGAAGCUAGAAAGGGAGGUGGAACUUAAAGUGGCGGGGUUUAUCCGAGAUGACGGUGCUCCUGCUCUGUCAAAGAUGUGAAAAAAGGUGAAAAUAUUUGCAAAAAAUUAAGAUGACGGUUAUUUCUAGAAAGAUUGAUCACAUACAUUCGCACACGCAGAGUCAGCUUGAAAUAUUUAUUUAUUUAUUUUUGAGACAAAGUCUAGCUUUGUCGCCCAGGCUGGAGUGCAGUGGCACAAUCUUGGUUCACUGCAACUUCCGCCUCCCAGAUUCAAGCGAUUCUCCUGCCUCAGUCUCCCCAGUAGCUGGGACUACAGGCGCACACCACCACACCAGCUAAAAGAUGGGGUUUCACCAUGUUGGUCAGGCUGGUUUCAAACUCCUGACCUCAAGUGAUACACCUGCCUCGGCCUCCCAAAGUGCUGGGAUUACAGGCGUGAACCACUGAGCCCAGCCGGAAAUUUAAUGUCGUAGGAAAUCGAAGAGUUGAUUAAAAUUAUUAGCUACCAGGCAAUAAUAUGAAAAUCAGUGUAUUGUCAUAAAGAUAUCUAAGGUAUUACGUUUUGAAGUUGUAUAAAAAGGUGAAGUUAAAAUGUUUUUAAAAAGUCAAUGUGUCUAUUUUACAUAGGGUUGCCAUUUCUGUUUUUAAACUUUAGUUGGGUUUUAAAUUCCUGAAUUUUCACAUGGCUCAUGUGGGGGACAUUGGGAUAGAAUGGUGUUUGGGGUAUAUGCAUAAAAAAAGGGAGUCUGUCUUAAAUUAAAGGCAUAUAUCCCCCAAAAGAAUGGAAUCUGUUAGUAGUAGGAUAUAGAAAUUUUUUGCAAAAUGAUAACCAGAGAAGAUGUUUCAUUGUUUGAUCAUGAAUGGAAUUGUCUGUGACUGCCAUCAUGGAUUGAGGAAAAUUAUAGAGUAUGAUAUAAGAUAUUUACCCGAAAACGUCCAACAAAAUGCCGGCCACAUUUGGUAGAUGUUAUCGAGUCUCUCUUUCCCUCUCUUGCUGGUGAGUCUUCUCAGGCCUGCAGAGGGAUUGUGGAAUACGACAAGAUGUUCGUACUAGCCUUGAUUGCCAUCUUCAACAAACAAAUGAGAUAGGAUGGCAUAUGAUUCCAAAGAAAUAAUUCUUCAUUUACUAAACCUGACUGGGAAAUGAGGAGGGAGACAAAAAGGAAGAAGUAAGGUGGCAGGAUUGGGCUAAUAGGAAGAUGAGCAAAUUUCUCUGAUCCUGAAAAUGAGAGUUUAAAAAGUGGAUGGGUUUACUCUAUCAGGAAUCAUCAAGAAAGAAGGAAUGCUUAGGAAAUAGAGGUUACGCUUUUGGAAUUUUUUUUUUUUUUUUUUUGAGAUGGAGUCUCGCUCCGUCACCCAGGCUAGAGUGCAGUGGCGCCAUCUCGGCUCACUACAAGCUCCGCCUCCAGGGUUCAAGUGAUUCUCCUGCCUCAGCCUCCCGAGUAGCUGGGACUACAGGCACCCACCACCACGCCCAGCUAAUUUUUUGUAUUUUUAGUAGAGACGGGUUUCACCGUGUUAGCAGGAUGGUCUCGAUCUCCUGACCUCGUGAUCCGCCCGCCUUGGCCUCCCAAAGUGCUGGGAUUACAGGCGUGAGCCAUCACGCCCGGCCACGCUUUUGGAUUUUUAAAGCAUCCUUGAAGCUCCUAAUAUGAAGGGUGCUGUGCUUCAGGGAAUAAGCAGGCAAAUUGUGUUGCAUUUUUUAGGGUAUGUCCUUCCCUGGAACAAGACAGAAUAUGUAGAAAGUAGCCAUUCUAGAUUCAGAUCUCAAAAAGUGGGCAUGUCUUUGUUAUCCGUUGAAAUACCUAUCUAGAAAGAGAAGAACAAAAGCAAGUCUGAGAUCUACAGAUUACUGCUUGGAUAUGGGAAGAAUUUCUGAUAAUGGAACUCUGGUAGACAUGGGUUGAGGACAUAAUCUUUCAGCUUACCUUUUUCUGAAACAGAGCAGUCCUCCUGGCUUGGGAAUAAUGUGUGUCCAAAUGUUAGGAAGUCCUAAGUAUAAGACAACCCUCCUAGCCCCACAUUUUCCCAAUGAAAGAUUUGAAUUAUCUAGAAAAAACUUCAAAAACAAAAUGAUUAGGAUUGCCAUGCUAGAUAUUAUGACGUGUCAUAAAACCACAAGUUUCAAACACUCUGGGCUAUAGAGUAGUGAAACAAGAUAGUCUUCAGACAGCCUUUACUUUUAAACUAAUACUUUCAGGACUUGAGGCCUCUCUGAAUUAAACUAAGGACGCUCCCUGCCAACCCCCAUAUCCCAAGAGAAAACAGAAAGAAAAAGUUUUCUAAGAGGAGAUAAUCUUACUUAUUUCUGUGAAUAGGAGGAAUCAAAAUACCAGUUGUCUCUGGUGUCUUAGUUUCUUUCAGAAAAAUAAGGCUGUAGAUUAACUAAUAGAACACAGAGGCCAUGUAUUUUGGAAGUUUCCUUUAAUGUUGAUAAUGCUAAUUCUAUACAGCAAGUCAGCUCAUACAGCAAGUCAACAAGUUCAGCUAUUUGCUGAGCCUCUUGCAGCCAUGUCAUCUUUGAGCACACUGUAAGAAUUAAAGAAAGAAGAGAGAAACAAGAAGGGCAGCUUGACAGUCAAUAGGUUUAUUUUAAACCUGGGAGGGGCUUUUGACCUUACACACACACUAGGAAGUAAUAAUGUUCUCUGGGUGGUUGGGUGGCCUAUUUAUUUUUUAUUUUUUUAAUUAGAAUUUCUUUUUCUAAGUAACUGCAAUACCACCUGUACUCUGGUAUCUUUUCAGGGGAAUCUAGACUUUGUCAAUUGUCUGUAUUAUAUUCAGGCUAGUGGCUUUUUCAGGGUAUUAAACCUUUCCCUAAAAGGGUUUCAGUCUUCCCUCCAGCUCCAAAGCAUGUAACUGUGUAUUAGUCUGUUCUCGCAUUGCCAUAAGGAAUUAACUGAGACUGGGUAAUUUGUGAAGAAAAGAGGUUUAAUUGGCUCACAGUUCUGUGGGUUGUACAGGAAGCACGGCAGGGGAGGCCUCAGGAAACUUAAAAUCAUGGCGGAAGGCAAAGGGGAAAGCAGGCACAUCUUCACACAGCAGGAGGAAGAGAAUGAAGGGGGAAGGGAAAUGUUACACACUUUUAAACAACCAGAUCUCGUGAGAACUUACUCAUUAUCACGAGAACAGCAAGGGGGAAGUCCCCAUCACCCAGCCAUCUCCCACCAGGCCCCUCCUCCAACAUUGAGGAUUAUGAAUUCAACAUGAGAUUUGGGUGGGGACAGAGCCAGAUUAUAUCAGACUCUUUACUGACAGUUCUGCCCCUUAGAGGAGUUUUCACAGUGAGUGGUCCACCAGGACUUUUGGGAGAGCCAGGUAUUUAUUGUGGAUGCUGUGUAGAAGCAAACACCUUAGGCAAAUGAGAAAGCUUUUGCUCUCUGAGUAGCUGUAUGCUUUUGUCAAAACAGAGGUUAAUAAAAGUGACAAGAAUGUGUAACACACUUCAUGUUAAUAGGCCUGGUGGUGAUUAGACAAGAAAAAAGCCAUUUCUUGAUAGGAAGGUACUGAUAUAUUUUAAUAUGUGUCAGUUCUCUUUUGCUGCAACCACCCACCUCAAACUAACUAACAUUAAUUUAUUUAGCUCAUAAUUCUUCAGAUCAGCCUGGAAGUCUUUUGGUCUUGGGUGACUUUGCUGGUUGAUGAUGGGCUGGGCUGGGGCCCAGGGGCCUCUAUUCACAUGGCCUCUCAUCCCCCAGCAGCUAUGCUGCACUUUAUCACAGGGUGGCAGGGUUUCAAAGAGCAGCGAGGGGGGCAAGCCCCAAUGCACGAGCAUCUUUCAAGCCUUUGCUUGUAUCACAUUUGCUCACUUCCCAUGGACCAAAGCUAGUCACACGGUGGAGCUUCAAGUCAAUGAGAAGGCACUCAGAUCUACAGGGCAGGGGCACUUGGGUACUGGGACAGGAGGAGUCGAUGGCCACAUUUACAGUCUACAUACAGCACAACAGACCACACUUGUCAAGGAGUAUAACCUUGAACCUACUGGGGCUCAGUAUUCUUCAGAAACUCAGUUGAUGAUUAUAAUUAUGUGAAUAGCCCAGAUGAUAUGCAAUCCAUUUUCUCCUUAAGCCCAGAGGUCUCAAGCCCUCCGUUGAUAAGAAGUAGGUUUUGCUUUUCCUACAGCCUGUUUAUCACUUUUUUUUGGAGCCAACAUUGAAAAACCAAGAGGUUUUACAUAAAAUCUGGACUUUUGACUUUGAAAAGAUGAUCUGGCAAAAGUUGUCAAGAGCCAAGGAGUGCUUAUCUUUUCCAGGAAGCCCUGUGGUUUUCAGUUUCCCACACUCCUCCCGUCUUGCUGUUUCUUCAGCCCUGAGGCUGAGUGUCAUCUGCCACUUGUCAGAGGAAUUGCACGGUUGAUUUUCUUAUAGCAGAGAAAUUCCUGUCACCAUUUCUAAAAAAGUGAAAUAAUGAAAGGUAGACUGAGAGGCCACAUAGUCCCAGAAAAAUGGAAGAAAGCAUAUCACUUUGAGUAAGGAGAGAAUAUUCUUGUGUGUUUCAUAUGCAGUCUGCAUUUUGGUACACAAAGAACUUUUGAGAGAGGAGAGAAUAUUCUUUUUUUUUUUUUUUUUUUUGGAGAUGGAGGAGUUUUGCUCUUGUUGCCCAGGCUGGAGUACACUGGUGCGAUCUCGGCUCACCACAACCUCCACUUCCCGGGUUCAAGUGAUUCUCCUGCCUCAGCCUCCCAGGUAGCUGGGAUUACAGGCAUUUGCCACCACACCCGGCUAAUUUUGUAUUUUUAGUAGAGACGGGGUUUCUCCAUGUUGGUCAGGCUGGUCUCAAACUCCCGACCUCAGGUGAUCCGCCCACCUUGGCCUCCCAAAGUGCUGGGAUUACAGGCGUGAGCCACUGUGCCUGGCUGGAGAGAAUAUUCAUGUAUGUUUCAUAUGCAAUCCGCAUUUUGAUACACAAAGAAUUCUUUUCCGUCUUAAAAGUGGCUUACUUGACUCACAUUAUUUCCUUGGUCCCUGUAGACAUGUGAGUUUAGAACUUUGUUCCAGAACACUGUACCAUCUGUGCAUUCAGCUUUGCAGUCCUAGAGAGGUGCAUCACAGCUGAUGUUAUUGCUGCGAUGGAAGACUCCAUGGAGUCAUUUCUUAUACAUAGCUCCACGCUGUAAUGCUGACGACACCUUGUAAAAGCAGAUCUCUGUAUGGCAUCGUGUUGUAAGGCAAGGAAGUUGUUGAGGAGGAUGUUUCCCAACACUGAAUAGCUUCUUCCCUCUGAGGAACCUCAGAGAACUGGUUUGUUCUUAUCUUGUGGACAUUUGAAUCCUGUAACAGCAUCUCCCACUUCAUGAGUGUGCCAGAGUUCAGAGUCAAAUUUGUAGUCAUUUGUAGACUUACAAACUCUUAUUUUCAUAUUUAGUCCACGUUAACUGUUAUGUAUCAUAAUCAUCUAUUUUACAUUAUUUUAAAAUUUACAUUUAGAAUCUCAUAGCUCUUUUUUGGUGAGUACUGUAAAUCUAAAGCUUUUUGGCUGCUAGCAGGUUUAUCAUAAGAAGACAGAGCUGUGUUCAGCAUUUAACUAUGACAUGAUUAACUUCUCAGACUCACCUCCUGCUCCCAAAUUUCAUCCCUGUGUACGUUUACUUUCGAACACCUUUUCAUUGAAACUAUGUAGGAACUUUAUUCUCUUUCCUCUGCUACUUCUGUAUUUCUGUUUUGUUUGCUUUGUGUUUUGUUUUCUUUAGUUUUUGCUGAGACAUUCACCCCAUCUUUUAGAGAACCUCUAUAAACUGGAUGUCUCUUUACGUGUUAGGUGCAUAGUAUAUGUUUGAAGAGAUGAGUGAAGUUUAAUAAACAUGCAGUUUUCUUGUAUGUGUUAGCUCAAAAUGGUUCCAGAAAACAGCUACAAUGAAAUGAAGAUUGAAUAUUGCCUGAUUCUUUCAAUAGAAGUUUCUUGCAAUAGAAGUAAAUACUGCCUGAGUCUUUCAAUAGAAGUUUCAGUAGAAGUAAAUACGGCCUGAUUCUUUCAAUAGAAGUUCCCCGACCCCCAGCCUAUCUUGUUUGCACUAAACAUAUGAAGUUUAAAAUCUAAUUUUCUCUCCUGUCUUUGAAUUCAUGGAAUAUUUUUCUGAAACAUGCAUGUCUGGAUGGGCUAAAGAGAGAGAGAGAAAGUGCAGAGAGGUGGCAAAAAUCUUGGGCUGUGGGCUAGAAACGAUCUAGGUUUGAAUCUUGACUGGAUCUCCUGGUGUCUUUCUGAUGUUGGAGGAUAACUUUUCAGUACCCGCUUUCCUCAUUUGUAAAAUGAUAAUAAUAAUAAUGACUGCCUUAUGGUGGCAUUGCGAGUAUGUGAGAUAAGACAUGAAACAUGGAAGUUUCACCUUUGGCAAGGCAGGCUAAGUAAUGUUGGUCAAAAUAUACUUUAAGGCAAAACCUGUUACUUGAGAUAAGAUUGACUUUUUUUUUUUUUUUCUUCAGAGACAGGGUCCCAUUAUAUUGGCCAGGCUGGUCUUGAACUCCUGUGCUCAAGUGAUCCUCCCACCCUGGCCUCCCAAAGUGCUGGGAUUACAGGUGGGAGCCACCAUGCCUGGCCAAGAUGGACUUUUUUUUUUUUUUUUAAGAUAGAGUCUCAUUCUGUCUCCUAUGCUGGAGUGCAGUGGUGCGAUCUGGGCUCACUACAACCUGCACCUCCCAGGUUCAAGCAAUUCUCAUGCCUCAGCCUCCCGAGUAUCUGGGAUUACAGGCAUGCACCGCCAUGCCCAGCUAAUUUUUGUAUUUAUAGUAGAGACAGGGUUUCACCAUGUUGGCCAGGCUGGUCUCAAAUGCCUGACUUCAAGUGAUUUGCCUGCCUUGGCCUCCCAGAGUGCUGGGAUUACAAGAAUGAGCUACUGCGCCCAGACAAGAUGGACAUUUCUUAAUAAUAAAACGUUAAGCCCACCAGAAACAUAAAAUCAUAUAACAACUCAAAAUUUUUAACACUGAAUAAUAUAGUCUCAAGAUUGACAGACUACAAAGGGUGAGGAACAGUAGUAGAUUUUUAACUGAUUUCUCUCAAACUGAUAAAAUUAGUAGGAGUAUUAAAGAUUUGAACAAUGGAAUUAACAAAUUUAACCUAUAUCACAGAAAUAGAGCAUUCCAACCAGUAACUUUGGAAUACAGAUUUUUUCUUUUUUCUUUUUUUUUUUUUUUGAGACAGGGUCUCACCCUGUCACCCAGCCUGGAGUGCAGUGGUGCAAUCUUGGCUCACUGCAGCCGCUGCCUUUUGAGUUCAAGUGAUUCUCCCACCUCACCAUCCCCAGUAGCUGGGAAUACCGGCGCGUGCUACCACACUGGCUAAUUUUUUUAUUUUCUGAGAGAAAUGGGGUUUCACCAUGUUGGCCAGGCUGGUCUCAAACUCCUGACCUCAGCUGCUUUGCCCGCCUUGGCCUCCCAAAGUGCUGGGAUUACAGGCAUGAGCCACCGUGUCUGGUCUGAAUACAGAUUCUUUUCAAGAGCACAGAACUUGUUCACAGAAAAAUUACCAAAUGGCCAUUUGCUGAACAUUAUAGACAUUUCAAAACAGGGUCGAAAUUGUAUAGAGCAUGAUAUCUGAACACAAUGGAAUUAAACUAGAAACCAAUACCAAGAGAUAAUUAGAAUAUUCUGGAAUUUAAGCAACACACUUCUUAUUUACUUGUGGGUCAAAAAGAAGUUACAGUGAAAAUAGAAAAUAUAUUGAUGAGGCCGAGUGCGGUGGCUCACGCCUGUAAUCCCAGCACUUUGGGAGGCCGAGGCGGGCGGAUCACGAGGUCAGGAGAUCGAGACCAUCCUGGCUAACACGGUGAAACCCUGUCUCUACUAAAAAUACAAAAAAAUUAGCCGGGCGCAGUGGCGGGCACCUGUAGUCCCAGCUACUCGGGAGGCUGAGGCAGGAGAAUGGUGUGAACCCGGGAGGCAGAGCUUGCAGUGAGCCGAGAUAGUGCCACUGCACUCUGGCCUCGGCAAAAGAGCGAGACUCCGUCUCAAAAAAAAAAAAAAAAAAAAGAAAAUAUAUUGAUGAAUGAUGAUAGAUAAGAAAACAAAAUAUGUGGGUUGGAUGUCAGCAGAAAUAGCAGAGCACAGACCUUAAAAAUCUUGUUUCUCUGUGAAAACAAUGAGAAUACUGGCAAAAAUGAUCACAAGCGACUUUUUUUACCUGUGGAAAUUAACCAAAGGCAUGCAACAAUGUGGGGAGCAUAUAUUCACGAAAAAAUGGUUGCAUCUCAGUAAGAAAAAAGAGCUUUGUGAUGUUAACUCGUUCUAUUCCAUUCUCACUUUCCCUAGCCUUGAAAACCAGUAGCUCGGCUGGGAGCAGUGGCUCACCCCUGUAAUCCCAGCACUUUGGGAGGCUGAGGCGGGCGGAUCAUUUGAGGUCAGGAGUUCAAGACCAGCUUGACCUACAUAGUGAAACCCUGUCUCAACUGAAAUACAAAAAUUAGCCGGGUGUGGUGGCGGGCACCUGUAAUCCCAGCUACUUGGGAGGCUGAGGCAAGAGAAUCGCUUGAACCCAGGAGGUGGAGGUUGCAGUGAACUGAAAUCGCACCAUUGCACCCCAGCCUGGGGGAUAGAGCAAGACUCCCUUUCAAAAGAAAAUAAAAAAGAAAACCAGUAGCUCACAACCACAGUAAAAACCAGCAGCCCGGCCGCUGUGGGAGGGGGCAAAACAGAGUGGGAACUCCUUCAAAGUCUCAUUCCUUGGAAAUUGUCAUUAUAUAUGACUUGUAUGGCAAACCUGGAAACUUUCUCUCACAGGGGUUGUCUUUAUUUGAAGUGACUCAAGUUUGUCUGGUGCAAAAAACCUUUGGAUGUUUCUCCUAAACAAUUAUAGAUGAUUGUUUAGCUUCACAAAGCCGCCUCAAGUGGCAUUAACAGCUAGGGCAGACAAGAAGCUCACCAAUAAAUGGAAAAGGAAAAGCUGGGCCAUGAGAUGUCAUAGGGGACUUUGAAAAGCUCCAUCGUAUUCCUGGGAAUCUCCAACCCCACUCACACGAUCAGGGCUGUGGGCAUGCCAGAGAAGACUUGAGAAGGCCCUGUGCUUUUGGUUCUUACUGAGUAAGCAGGCAGCGAAAACCAAGGCAGAGUUGCAAACUGCCUGCCUGGGUGAUGAAGGCAUCCCCUAACAAAAACACAGAGCCCCUCGACAAAGGCUGGGAGGCUUACCAGUUGGAAGCAUUUAAGGAUAUCUCUGUCCAUUAAUGAGCUGACCACUAAGCUAACCAAACAGAGACUUCAGUGGCCAAACACAACAAUGAAUAUCGAAUUUACCAAAUUAUUUCAGCAAAAAUAAACACAACAAACAGCAAAAAAGAAAACCAAGAAACGAACAAAACAAUAUUCCCAAAACCAAAGUAACCAACCAAACCAAACAAACCUGGGUUGAGAGGUAUCUGAUUUCCAGAGUUGCCACUAAUGAUAUUUAAAGUAAUAGCCAGGCGUGGUGGCUCAUGUCUGUCAUCGCUUGAACUUCGGGAGGCUGGGACGGGAGGAUUGUUUGAGGCCAGGAGUUUGAGACUGGCCUGGGCAACAUAGUGAGACCCUGUCUCUACAAAAAAUUAAAACAUUAGCCAAGUGUUUUGGUGCAUGCCUGUAGUCCCAGCUACUGAGGAUGCUGAGUUGGGAGGGUUGCUUGAGCUCAGGAGUUCAAGAUUGCAGUGAGCCAUGAUCAUGCCACUGCACUCCAGCCUGGGGGACAGAGUGAUACCUUGUCGCAAAAAAUAAAUAAAAAGAAAAUGUCUAGUGUUUAAAGAAACCGACAAGAUAUACAAAGAAACAAGAAUGUGGCCUAUACACAUGAAAGGAAACAGAAUAGAAUCCAUCUACAAGGAAGCCUAGAUGUUGGACUUACUAGACAAAGAUUUGACAUUGGCUAUUUUAAAUGUGUUCAAAGAACUACAGGAAAGCAUUUUCUUAUCUUUUUUUUUUUCCAAGACGGAAUCUUGCUCUGUCACCCAGGCUAGAGUGCAGUGGCACAAUCUCAGCUCACUGCAACCUCCGCCUCCCGGGUUCAAGCAAUUCUCCUGCCUCAGCCUCCUGAGCAGCAAGGGAUUAAGGCAUGUGGCAUGCCUGGCUAAUUUUUGUAUUUUUAGAAGAGACAGGGUUUCACCUUGUUGGCCAGGAUGGUCUUGAACUCCUGACCUCAAGUGAUCUGCCCCCCUCGCCCUCCCAAAGUGGUGGGAUUACAGGCGUGAGCCAACACACCUGGCCAGAAAAGCAUUUUCAAAGAAACAAAAGUAUGAAAAUGAUGACUCAUCAAAUAGACUAUCACUAAAGUCUCUCAGAGACCCAUGGGGCACCUUCAGGCAUGCCAACAUAUUUAUAAAGGGAAUUCCAGAAGGACAGGAGAGAGAGAAAUGAGAAGAAAGAAUAUUUGAACAAAUAAUGAUCAAGAACUUCACAAACUAGAAUUUGGGAAAUUCACAAAUAUGUGGAAAUUAAACAACACACUUGUUAAAUAACCAGAAUAUCAAAGAGAAAUCACAAAGUACAUUCUUUCUCUGUAGUUGUUAGAAAAUCAAAGAAAGGUCCGGGCGUGGUGGCUCACACCCAUAAUCCCAGCACUUUGGGAGGCUGAGCCAGGUGGAUCACCUGCAGUCAGUUCAAGAACAGCCUGGCCAACGUGGCGAAACGCUGUCUUUACUAAAAAUUCAAAAAAAUUGGCUGGGCAUGGUGGUGGGUGCCUAUAAUCCCAGCUACUCUGGAGGCUGAGGCAGGAGAAUCGCUUGAACCUGGGAGGCAGAGGUUGCAGUGGGCCAAGAUUGUGCCAUUGCACUCCAGCCUGGGUGACAGAGCGAGACUCUGUCUGACAAAAAAAAAAAAAAAAGAAGAAGAAAGUGCAGAAGCUCUUUAUGUAUUGAUAUGGAAUGAUUUCUACAAGUUCACAAUCUUUUACCCCUUGUGCCCAAAAGUGUUUCAGAAUUUUAGAAAGACAAUACAGUGUAUCCACUGUAUUUUAUGGUAUAUCUCCAGCACCCUAGAGCCACACACAUGUAAUUAGUUCUACAAUAAAAUAUGCUUAGUCACAGAAAUGGAAAAAUUAGGCCAGGCACAGUGGCUCACGCCUGUAAUCCCAGUACUUUGGGAGGCCGAGGCAGGCAGAUCACCUGAGGCCAGGAAUUUAAGACCAGCCUGGCCAACAUGGCGAAACCCCAUCUCCACUAAAAAUACAAAAAUUAGGCAGGUGUGGUGGUGCGUGCCUGUAGAACCAGCUACUUGGGAGGCUGAGGUAGGAGAGUUGCUUGAACCCGGGAGGUGGAGGUUGUGGUGAGCCAAGAUCAUGCCCCUGCACUCCAGCCUGGGUGACAGAGCAAGACUCUGUCUUAAAAAAAAAAAAAAAAAAAAAGAAAACAAAA